UGUGCCAGCCGCCGCGGUAAUACGUAGGGGGCGAGCGUUGUCCGGAAUUACUGGGCGUAAAGGGUGCGUAGGCGGCCCUUUAAGUCGGAUGUGAAAGCCCGCGGCUUAACCGCGGAAUGGCAUUCGAAACUGGAGGGCUUGAGUGUCGGAGAGGGUAGUGGAAUUCCCAGUGUAGCGGUGAAAUGCGUAGAUAUUGGGAGGAACACCAGUGGCGAAGGCGACUACCUGGACGAUAACUGACGCUGAGGCACGAAAGCUAGGGGAGCAAACAGGAUUAGAUACCCUGGUAGUCCUAGCCGUAAACGAUGGGUACUAGGUGUGGGUGGUUUCGAUACCAUCCGUGCCGUAGUUAACGCAUUAAGUACCCCGCCUGGGGAGUACGGCCGCAAGGUUGAAACUCAAAGGAAUUGACGGGGACCCGCACAAGCAGCGGAGCAUGUGGUUUAAUUCGAAGCAACGCGAAAAACCUUACCAAGACUUGACAUCGCAUGAUCGCCAUAGAAAUAUGGUUUCUCUUCGGAGCAUGCAGACAGAUGGUGCAUGGUUGUCGUCAGCUCGUGUCGCGAGAUGUUGGGUUAAGUCCCAAAACGAGCGCAACCCUUGUUGUUAGUUGCCAAUAUUAAGUUAGGAACUCUAGCGAGACUGCCGCGGUAACGUGGAGGAAGGAAGGGACGACGUCAAAUCAUCAUGCCUCUUACGUCUUGGGCUACACACGUGCUACAAUGGCCAUAACAAAGAGCAGCAAUAUAGCGAUAUUGAGCAAAUCUCAUAAAAAUGGUCUCAGUUCGGAUUGUAGGCUGCAACUCGCCUACAUGAAGUCGGAGUUGCUAGUAAUCCCGAAUCAGAACGUCGGGGUGAAUGCGUUCCCGGGUCUUGUACACACCGCCCGUCACGCCAUGGGAGUUGGUAGUACCCAAAGUCGGUGAGCUAACCGCAAGGAGGCAGCCGCCUAAGGUAAGAUCAAUGACUGGGGUGAAGUCGUAACAAGGUAACCA
rnacentral:rRNA from 1 species